ensembl:lncRNA
GGCAGCUGUCCUGUUCUCAGGUCGCCUGCUGUGACCUUUCACAACACAAUAGAUCUGUUUCUGUCUCCACGCGAUGCGCGCAACCGCCGCGCCGACGAGGAGCGAGGAGGACCGGUAAGGACCGAGGAAGACCGAAGAAGAGCGAGGAGCGAGAAGCAGCGGCCGUUGAGGAUCCCUGCCGUACUGAGGAGGUCGUUAGUCGGCUGGUUCUGCGCGAAGAGAUGUUUUAUUAAAUAAUAUUUGAUGCCACUCUGGAUUAUUUCCGCGGAAUGAAUCAGGACAGAGAAGCACGUUGAAAGAGUUAAUUGACCUGUUAAUUUUGCAUAUUAGUUCUCAUGAGUUGUUUUUCCAAAUAUGGUCAUAAAACAGUUGACCUCGAGCACAUCUACUCUCGGGCUAUUAUUGGACAUGCAGCACGUGACUGGGACCGCGCGUCUCACACCUAACUGGGCUCUUUGUGGCCGCACGUGUGGCAAUAAAUGCAGAUGCGCGUCGUGCGUCAGUGGGAAAUGCUCCAAUCACCCCGAACCAGCCCGAGGGCAUCACACGCGAGGCUUUCUGCAGAUUCAUCACCCGCUGACGUCCACUUGAUAACCGGCUGAUGUCCACUCGGUGACCCGCUGGUCUCAGCCGGCUCUUUCAGUGGGAGGUUAUUUGGUGAUGUCACGUGUCCCGCAGCAGUAGCCGGGUUCCAACACUUGUGUGUGGUAUCGGUCCCGGGUGUGAAGGGGAGUCUCUGGCGGCCAGACAGGAAGAGGCAUGGUGAAGUAAAGACAACCCGACGCUCGCUGAACCUGGCAGCUUUUGAUGUAUUUUGAGGGCUUGAUAACCUGCCAAGUAAUGACAUGAUACUGGGUACGAUCAGCAUCGAACAACCAUUACAGCAACCGAAGAAGAGCCGCAGAAUAGCAACGGGAUCGUUUUCCAAUCCAAUGUGACCAAACACAAAGUCUUAACUGUAUUGGUGUCUUGUUCUGUUUUUACUCCAGAGAUAGUUAGGC